GGGCACUUGGUGUAGUUGGUUUAUCACGCCCGCUUAGCACUGCUGCGAAGUGCGGGAGGGGACCGGUUCAAUUCCGGUAGUGUCCA